CCUAUGGGUGGCGGCAGUGGGGAAUAUUGGACAAUGGGCGAAAGCCUGAUCCAGCCAUGCCGCGUGUGUGAAGAAGGCCUUCGGGUUGUAAAGCACUUUCAGUGGGGAAGAAAGCCUUGGGGCUAAUACCCUCGAGGAAGGACAUCACCCACAGAAGAAGCACCGGCUAACUCCGUGCCAGCAGCCGCGGUAAUACGGAGGGUGCGAGCGUUAAUCGGAAUUACUGGGCGUAAAGCGCGCGUAGGCGGUCUGAUAAGCCGGUUGUGAAAGCCCCGGGCUCAACCUGGGAACGGCAUCCGGAACUGUCAGGCUAGAGUGCAGGAGAGGAAGGUAGAAUUCCCGGUGUAGCGGUGAAAUGCGUAGAGAUCGGGAGGAAUACCAGUGGCGAAGGCGGCCUUCUGGACUGACACUGACGCUGAGGUGCGAAAGCGUGGGUAGCAAACAGGAUUAGAUACCCCGGUAGUC
rnacentral:rRNA from 1 species